UACGGGGGGUGCAAGCGUUAAUCGGAAUUACUGGGCGUAAAGGGUGUGUAGGUGGUUAGAUAAGUUAGAUGUGAAAUUCCUGGGCUUAACCUGGGGACUGCGUUUAAGACUGUUUAACUAGAGUGCUGUAGAGGGUAGUGGAAUUUCCAGUGUAGCGGUGAAAUGCGUAGAUAUUGGAAGGAACACCAGUGGCGAAGGCGACUACCUGGACAGACACUGACACUGAGACACGAAGGCAUGGGGAGCAAACAGG
rnacentral:rRNA from 1 species